CGGCGGCGGCGGGGCCGUGGUUUGCGUCGGUCGCGCAGGCGGCGUGCGAGAGGCGCCCAGCCGUGCUUCUGCAGCCCGGCCGUUUGGGAGGCUCGCCCCCGUUAGCGCGCGCGCUCUUCAGCGGCGCCCGGUAGUAAUUGAGGCUGGAGGUGACGCUGAGACUCGCGCCGUCGACGAGGAGCUUUCUGGCGACCCAGGUACUAUGAAGAAGUAUGUAGUGCUGUCUGAUACAUUGUACAGAAACUUUAAGCCCUUCAUGGAAACAUGAUCAGAACUAGAAGAAUGCUUGGUACACACAAGUGGACGUUCCUGAAAGCUAUUAUGGUGUAUCAACAAGCAGUAUGAAGAAAAAACUCAAAUGUCCUGAUGAGAUUUUUCUGGUGACUCUAGGACAUCAGAUAGAGUGAUGUUUAAAGGCUGCUCCUUCCUUAAAGAGAAAUGGCAUAAAACAUAAGAACCAAUACUUCUAGUUGUUAAGUGAUGAGAGUUGGAACAUUUUGUCAGUGCUACCUGACAAGUUUGGAUGGUCUGUAACGGGAAGGAAGUGUAACACCUGAAGAGUUAUUUCUGCUUGAAGUGGGACACCAUGCUUUUUAAAUCUCCUGCUGAAACAGCUGAUGUUGUACUAUUUAGCAGAUUCUGUUUUCAGAAAUUACAUGUGAAUUAAUUACUGUGUCUAUGUAUUUAAAACAGCACCUUUACUAAAACUUUGAGCUACCCCCUUUGUAGGGAGGAUAACAGUAAUAGGGAAAUGAGCAGUGAGUGUCAAGUCAUGGGGAAAAAAAAACCCUACGAAUAUUUGCCCUUUUAAAAUAUCUUAACUGUAUACAGAUUGGCUGAUCCUGAACAUCCAUUUAACUCAAUGGUGGAACUCAAGAGGUAGGCCAUGUAAAGAGAGAAUUAAAGCACAAAUAGUUACCCAAGUUCAUACUAGUGAAUCUGCUUUUUGAGCAUGGUGUCAUCUAGAAGAUGAGAAGCAAGUAGAUGAUCUGUGGCAAUCAACUACUGAAUACUGACGCAUAAACAUGAAACUUGUAAGAAGGAUAUUCAAGUGUCAUCAGAAUUUGUGGUUACAGAAAAGCUAGAUCUAAAGCGUGCUUUGUCUUUAUGUAGUGAGGGAGGAGAAGGAAGUGGGGCUUUUGUCUGCUACGUCAGCAAGAUUACUGAAGUGGAACACUUCCCCUUUUUGGAAAGACCCUGGAAAAUGUUACCUGCCCUCUGUGGGAAAAGAAGUCAGAGGGAAAAGGGGAUGCAUACAUGGGAAUGUCUGCUCUGAGCCUUAGUUUGAAGAGUAACCAUGCAGUAAAAUGGUAACAGCAUGCUCAUUGCAUUCAGCAAAUGAACACUUUUCCAGGAAGAGGGAUCACAGAAAUCAUUAACCAAAUAAAUUUGAGUUUAAAGACAAACCAUUAUGUACAUAAGAUCCAAUCUACUUUUAAAGCAUGACCCAUAAAUCUAAAUGGCAAGAAAGCAUAAUAAAAAAAUCUUGCAGUAGCAGGACAUCCAACAGCUGAUAGUUAGACUGUUUUGAUAGUCUCUAAAUUUACAAUUUCACUAAAAUCUGAAUCAUUAAAACACAGGAAAAUGCCUUAGACUUGCACUCUUAACACAAAACCAGCAAAAAUGCUGACAUUGGUUGCUAGCAGCCCUUCUUGCUUACAGAAUUGAAGUUUUUAGCUCAUGGAAUAUGUCUGCUUAUAAAUGACAAAUGCAUGAAAAGCCACUUCCAUGUCAGGCAAUACCAAAGUGCAAAACUUAACAAGUAGCAGUGUCUAAAAGUAUUAGAAAUGACAAAAAUGAGGAGAAUUCUUUAGACUAUUAAAUUGUAUAUGCUCUAGGUUUGACCAUAGAUUUCAGGAAUGUAUUAAGUAUUACUUCUGGUUAUUGCUAGUGAGCAGUACCCAGCUACUUUGGUCAAAGGCUAUUCCUUUUCAGCAAGCAACUCUAAAUCAUAGUCCACCGAAUGUAUCAGAAACUGCAGAAUAUUAUUGCAGAAAAGCUUCCCUUUGCUUUCAGCAGAAUUUAUUACUUCUGGUAACAAAACAAAAUGUUACUGAGGAGGAUAGAUAUUUCAGUGUGCCAUGUUUUGUACGUGAUUUUUUUUUUGAAUAAAGAUGAGGAUGUGAAAAACCUG